CCUACGGGAGGCAGCAGUGAGGAAUAUUGGUCAAUGGGCGAGAGCCUGAACCAGCCAAGUCGCGUGAAGGAUGACGGCCCUACGGGUUGUAAACUUCUUUUGUCAGGGAGCAAUUGAGUCCACGUGUGGGCUUAGCGAGAGUACCUGAAGAAAAAGCAUCGGCUAAUACCGUGCCAGCAGCCGGGGUAAUACGGGGGAUGCGAGCGUUAUCCGGUUUUAUUGGGUUUAAAGGGGGCGUAGGCGGAAUAUCAAGUCAGCGGUAAAAAUUCGGGGCUCAACACCGUCGUGCCGUUGAAACUGGUGUUCUUGAGUGUGCGAGAAGCAUGCGGAAGGCGUGGUGUAGCGGUGAAAUGCAUAGAUAUCACGCAGAACUCCGAUUGCGAAGGCAGCAUACCGGCGCCCAACUGACGCUGAAGCACGAAAGCGUGGGGAUCGAACAGGAUUAGAUACCCGAGUAGUC
rnacentral:rRNA from 1 species